CAGGCAGCGGAUAGGACACAGAGACAGACAGACAGACACACGCGCGGGGGAUCGAAGACCGCCCAGAUACCCAAGAUGCCCACUGGGUACGGACCGAGUGAGGCGCGGUGAUUUCAGCAGCCUGAGGCUCGAGGCAGGUCCGGAGAGACUGACUGGCAAACGCGCAAUAGAGUGAUUAACCAUCCCUGUUAAUGUGGAACAGAGAGGUUUCCUGGGAUACUGGACUUUCAGUGGUAAAAGUUGGAAAGUCUAAGCUGGCUGGCAAAAUGUAAUAAUGUGAAAGAAGAAAACUCUAGGAAGAAACUUCAACAGUAAAAUGAAAUAAAAUACUAAGAGGAUUUUCAGGAAACGCUGUUUGGAAGGCAGAAGGGAGACGGGACAAAUAGCAAGAUUUUAAAGUGAAGAGGCCGGCCCAAUAUAGGCCCUCGGGAGGUGGAAAGGAAGGCCACCUAGUGGCGUUUGAGCGAAGG